GCACUCAUCCUCGCAACAUAUCGCCAUCAUCUGAGACAGAAUACGAACGCACAAAAUGGAAAUAGUAAGCACAUGCAUCAUAAGUAAGCUACUAAAUUAGGACUUGAAAGAGUAAAAUCAGCACACAAGUGGUGCUUACAACAAUCUUCACACAAACUUUACACCAGCCAAAACGACUUAUAUAGAUUUUCCUACCACAAUGUUAUAAACUACUAUCUAAUUGACCAUCAUCUGAGAUAGUAUCUCAAAAAGCGUUAUCAAUGCAUUUUUUAUAGCUAGCUGCAUUUCAACUAUCCUGGUCAACCAUGAAUAAAUUAGCAGAACAAGAUAUAUGUACAGGAGCAUCGGGUUCAUUUGAUACAUGUACAUACAAUCAACAGGAUAUUUUUAUCUUGAACAACAAUUAAUCUAGUGUCUAGACAAUGGAAGAAAGACAUGAUACGGACUAUACUGCAGUCGUCCAUUACUAAUUUUUCAUCAAUCAACAACAUAAUUCAAGUGCAUGAUCUCAACUGAGGCACAAAUAAACCAGAUGGGAAAUCAAUAAACCUUCCAAUUUUGGGAUCCAACAGCUCUGGAGGACUGCACCUCUCCCAUUGUGAUCCAUCCCCCUGCAAAAAAAAAACAAAUUGACAUAUCCAAUUGAAUCUCGAGCGGAUGAACACAGAGAGAGAGAGAGAGAGAUAGAGAGAGAGAGAGGAAAUGGGGGAAGUGGAGAUAACGCUCACCGCUGCCUUCACACAGUGGAUCUGAGGCGGCACAUCUCGGUUCGUUUCCUUCACGGACGCGCACUGGCACAAGGACGAGGGCCCAUCGUUCCUCCAGUCGAUGGAGGCGCCUGGAACAACGACCAGGAGGCGAUGCAGUGCGGGAGGACUUAGGCG
rnacentral:lncRNA from 1 species